rnacentral:lncRNA from 1 species
CAUGCAUGUGUGUUGUUUUCUGGAUGUUAGAUCCAUCUGCAUAUAUGUUUUAAAGUUACAACCGGGAAACGUGUUUCUUAAAUGCACCAUUUGAUUUCAAUACUGUUUUGUAGCGAUGCAUAGCGAUCACAUCGGAUAGUGGAGUUUGAGGUUCUAUAAGUGUCCGUACAACUUGAUAUUGCUACAGACAGACGAACGACGGA